UGUAUUAAAAUUUUAUAAAGGACAUAAACAAAACUGAGAGACGUACAUGUUACACUAGUUAAGAGUUUAACUUUAGUCUCUAAUUUGAGUUUAGCCUAGAUAAUUAAUUUAUUGAUGUCGUACUGAUCCUUGUGUUUGUAUGAUUAUAGAGACCGUACUGGAGUAUUUGUGCUGCCUGAUAUUUGGGACUACACACCAAUCUCUCUGGCUGACCUACCUGCCUACUUACCUUUUUUGCAAUUAAAUCUGUUUGGUCAAAAUCCAUGCUGGCCGAAGAAACUGAGAUGCUUACUUAUGAGGACAUAAACUAACUUGGAAAGUCCUGAAGAUGCAGUGCUGUCUAAUGCCGCUAUUUCUGUAUUACCCUUUCAACAAUUGGGGUGUUGCACAGAGUAUUGUGGUGAACAUCCAGCAAACAGAAGAAUUAAGAACUAUGUGGAAGCUGACAUUGUCUUGUUGUCAGCCAUAUUGCUACCCUUAGCUAUGUUAUGGUGUCUAAGAUUGUGGAACAAAGUUUAUGGUGUCUAAGAUUCUUUAUACUCCUUGAAAGACUUAUAAUAUUUUUCUGGACUAUGCUGGACUAUUGAACUAUUUUGUUAUUUUUAUUUUUAUUUUUGUAGAGUUAGCCGGAGAGAGAGGAAGUGUUAGCUUACUCAGGCAUGGAUGUACUAUGUGUGUCAUUGAUGUAUGUUGAGUGUACCAAGGAUGGAUUCCAAUGUAUUAAGUGUGGAUAUGACUGGACUAUCGAAAUAGGGAUUUGAUUAGGAGGCAUAGGACGCAAGGUCAUGAUUGGGAUUAUUGCUAGAAUUGCAAACUGAUUAGAAAUGAUCUUAUGAUUUAAUAUGUUAGUGGGCCUUUUCAAACUAAUCAAGAAGUGUUUCCCAAUCCCGAUACCUGAGCUAUUUACUUACAUAGUGCAGGUUUUAUAAGUCACUAAUGCUGUCAAUGUGAGGGGAUGACAUGUCUACACAGUCAUGGCCCUCACUUAGAAUUUACCCAGAUGUGCUUUUUUUCUCAAUUAUGAGUUUUUGCCACUGGGAUUUUUGACCUGGCCCAAGUUCACUGGGUGGACUGGUAAUCCAAGACCCUGGUCCAAAGAGGGGAAAUAGAUUUUAUUCCCAUUUUUG